rnacentral:rRNA from 1 species
UACGGGGGGAGCAAGCGUUGUUCGGAUUUACUGGGCGUAAAGGGCGCGUAGGCGGCCACCGCAAGUCAGUUGUGAAAUCUCUGGGCUUAACCCAGAAAGGUCAACUGAUACUGCGGGGCUAGAGUGCAGAAGGGGCAACUGGAAUUCUCGGUGUAGCGGUGAAAUGCGUAGAUAUCGAGAGGAACACCUGCGGCGAAGGCGGGUGCUGGGCUGACACUGACGCUGAGGCGCGAAAGCUAGGGGAGCGAACGGG